GAAUUUGGAAAUGUAAUAAAGCACAAGAAAAUCUUAAAAGCUUAGCCAGAGAGGAAGAAGAAGAAGAAAAAGAGAAGAAAAAAGCAAAAAUGGCGAAACUCGGCGGAAUCCAAGACAAGGGAAACGAGAACGAUCUCCACAUCGAAUCCCUCGCUCGUUUCGCCGUCGGCGAACACAACAAGAAAGAAAAUGCGGUUCUGCAAUUUGUGAAAGUUGUGAAAGUCAAAGAACAAGUUGUUGCCGGUACGGUCUACUACAUAACCUUGGAGGUUCUUGAUGGCGACAAGAAGAAGCUGUACGAGGCCAAGGUUUGGGAGAAGGCAUGGCUGAAUUUCAAGGAGGUUCAAGAAUUUCACCCUGUUGUUGAUGACUCUGCUCAGUCCAGCGCUAAUUGAGCUUCGUUAUCUCGAUCGAGGUGACUGCGAAUAAAAUAUAAUUCUCUAAGCUUGGUUGAGCUCUUCACAUACGAUGCAGAUCCGCAUGGUUGGUUGUUCUGGCUUGAACGAUACUUCCAGGUUAAAGGCGUUGACGACGCAGAACGGGUGGCGGCGGCCGUGAUUGGACUAGAAGGAAGGGCGUUGAACUAGUUCCAAUGGAUGGAAUCCAAAUUUGGUGUUGUGGAUUGGCCGACCUUCAAGGAAUCUAUGCUACAAAGAUUCCGAUCAUCUCAAACUGGAAAUCAUUAUGAAGCUCUGAUCGGCUUUCGACAAGAAUCAUCGGUGGCAGAAUUCCGGGAGAGGUUCGAGUAGGGGUGUUCGUCAGUUAAAAACCGUCGGUUUUGGUCGGUUCGGUGGCCGAACUGACCAUGUCGGUUUUUUGAAAGUUGGAACCGAAACCGAACCGCACCUAAUAGUUUUCGGUUCGGUUAACCGAACUUCGGUUUUGGUCGGUUUUGGUCAGUUUUCGGUUUUGGUAAUCAGGAAGAUGACCUCAGUUAACUAUCAA